GGGGAAUUAGCUCAAAUGGUAGAGCACUCGCUUAGCAUGCGAGAGGAUCAAUGCCCCCAUUCUCCA
rnacentral:tRNA from 1 species